UACAGAGGUCUCAAGCGUUGUUCGGAUUCAUUGGGCGUAAAAGGGGUGCGUAGGUGGCGCGGUAAGUCGGGGUGUGAAAAUUUUCGGAGCUUUAACUCCGAAACUGCAUUCGAUACUGCCGUCGCUUGAGGACUGGAGAGGAGACUGGAAUUUACGGUGUAGCAGUGAAAUGCGUAGAGAUCGUAAGGAAGACCAGUGGCGAAGGCGGGGUCUCUGGACAGUUCCUGACGCUGAGGCACGAAGGCCAGGGGAGCAAACGGG
rnacentral:rRNA from 1 species